UACGGAGGGGGCAAGCGUUGUUCGGAAUUACUGGGCGUAAAGGGCGCGCAGGCGGCUGCUCAAGUCAGGCGUGAAAGGCCUGGGCUCAACCCGGGAAUUGCGCUUGAAACUAGCGGGCUUGAGUGUGGCAGAGGGGGGUGGAAUUCCACGUGUAGCAGUGAAAUGCGUAGAGAUGUGGAGGAACACCGAUGGCGAAGGCAGCCCCCUGGGUCAACACUGACGCUCAUGCACGAAAGCGUGGGGAGUAAACAGG
rnacentral:rRNA from 1 species